AUCUCCCAUUCCGUUGCCGAUGCGGUGCGCGCACGUGUCGGCGAGAAACGCGAGUAGCGGACCCAUGCGCAGGAUGCAAUCGGCCGUCCAAGGUUUAGUCGAGGGCCGCGAGGAGAGAGACCGCACAGCAAGCGACAGCCACAUACCGUCCAUCAACUCGCGGAUCGUGUCUCGAAGGGCUUUGUGCCCUUGUCCGGGCAGUGUCGUCACAUAGAGGAUGUGCGAUUGGCUCUGCGCGCUGGCAAAGUGCGUAAUGUCCCCUGCCGGGCAGGGGAUCCGCGGAACUUUUCCGUUGGACGCCACACGACCCUCAAACUCGAACCGGCCGUUGGCGGCGCGCACAAAGUCUGUGCAUCGAGCGUAGGGCCGUUUGUCAUCGUCAUCGCAACGGAUCGUGCCGAUGGAAAGUCUAGUGCCGCACGACAAGGCUCCAAGUACGCGCAGCACCGCUCGCCGGUUAUGUUGGUACUCGGCCCUUGCGAGGGCGUCGACGUCUACGGUGCCGGUUGUCGUGUCGACGCACGACAUGAGAAAGGCCCUCGUCGCAUCCGCACCAAAAUCUACCAGGCGACCAACCUCGACGUCAUCCCCACCGUUGUUGUUGCUGUCGCCUCCAUUUUGGGUGUCUAGGCAAAUCUCGCCGUCGCUUGGCGUCGACCAAGCACUAUAUGCCGUACCCAUUUUUUGAUUUGAACAAAAAAACUGUUUUUUGAGGGUUUCCUUCUUUCCUCG
rnacentral:lncRNA from 1 species